UGAUGGUGAUGAGGACAAUUUCUAAGCAUAUCCUUGAAUCGCUCCCAAGCUUGGUAGAGAUUUUCUCCACCUUUUUGUCUAAAACUCAAUAUCUCACUCCUCAAUUG
rfam:Capsicum annuum cultivar Zunla-1 chromosome 4, whole genome shotgun sequence